UGUGCUACCCUGUCCACGCCUCGCCUCGGCAGCCAGGGCAGGGCCGCCGUCGAAGAGCCCCAAUACACGGUCCCCAUCUCAGCAUGAUGGACUUGGAGCUGCCGCCGCCGGGACUGCCGUCCCAGCAG
rnacentral:other from 1 species